AAGAUAAAAAGUCAUGUCUCCGUUUAGUGCGUCUCUUUGUCUGGGUCUCAGCAAACGCUCACAUAUAGGGGAAAAUGCUCCAAGACCUCUACUUUGCUUAUGGAUCUCUGUCGCACUGUCCGGCUCUUGAGAGGGGGACAUUUAAAAUGCAACUCCGGUGGACUGGCUGGUCCUUCAGGAUUUGUGGCCUGGCCGCAACAUUGAAGUACUUCUGGUUCAGGAGGACAACAUCAACUGAGGACAUGAUUACACUGAAGAGCACAUCCGUUAAUGUCGGAGUAAUCAUGACGCUGGUCACUUUCUGGUUACAGGAGAUGAAAUGAGACAGAGAGAGAAGAAAAGGAGGGAGACGGUGCUGGUGGCGGACAGUGUUGUGGAAGGAUGACGACGCCAACAGGACAUCUCCUAAACCACGUCAUACUUGUCCCAGGUUAAUCACUGGAGUAGGAUUACAUUCCAUUUGGCAAAUGGGUUCUUACUGCACAUCAAGACAUAUCUCAAACACAUAGGAGGAUAAUACACAAGCUGGGCCCAAGCAGUCCUCUCUGAGAUGUAUAAAAAGGAACAGUAUGCGUAUGAGCCUAUCGAUGGCUGUUCAUAAUGGGUAGGGUUCGGUUGCAAUGUGUUUCUUGUUGUCAUUAUGAUUUUUUUGUUGUAUUUAUUGAUGAGAAACCAAUGGGAUGUAGGCCUAUAAGGAAACUAAUAAAACAAGAGAAGAAUAAAGGUGGACCCAACCGCAAGUUCCUUGUUUUCUCAAACGCUACAGUUAAAGCCCAUACCCCAUCCUAAGUGAAAAUAAAACAUGCUAUUCUAAAACCAUACGCAGGGUUUGGGAUUGUAUAACUGAAUGAUAAAACAUGCUAUUCUAAUACCAGACGCAGGGUUUGGGAUUGUAUAACUGAGUGAUAAAACAUGCUAUUCUAAAACCAGAAGCAGGGUUUGGGAUUGUAUAACUGAAUUAUAAAACAUGCUAUUCUAAAACCAGACGCAGGGUUUGGGAUUGUAUAACUGAAUGAUAAAACAUGCUAUUCUAAAACCAGAAGCAGGGUUUGGGAUUGUAUAACUGAAUUAUAAAACAUGAAGUGGCUAAUAAGAGUCUGCUACAGCAGUACUUAAUGUUGACAGGUACAGAGGGAAUGAGUUGGUCUAUGUUGACCUUUAUUUUCUCUGUCUUUGGUACAUUUCCUGAAUCCAUUCAGAUGCAAAACCUUGUCUGGUCAAAUUAGAUUAUGAUCAUAAUAAAGUAUUUUAAUCUU